rnacentral:SRP_RNA from 1 species
ACUUAACCCAUGCCUGUAGUCCCAGCUACACUGAAAGCUGAAGCAGGAGGAUUUCCAGGAGUUCUGGGCUGUAGUGCGCUGUGCGAUCGGGUCUCGGCACUGAUAUGGUGACCUCCCAGGAACAGGGGACCACCAGGUCACUUAAGGAGGGGUGACCAGCCCAGGUUGUAAACAUGGAUGUCAAAACUCCCGUGCUGAUCAGUAGUGGAAUGGCCCUGCGAGUGGCCACUGCACUCCAGCCUGGACAACAUGGCGAGACCCCUCC